AAGGAGGACAUCUAUUUACAUUCCAGUUCAGGAAUUCUCAGGAAGAUGUAGGAUGAAAUCAGGAAGACGAGGAAGAUUCGGUUUCAUCCUAUAAGACU
rnacentral:lncRNA from 1 species